rnacentral:rRNA from 2 species
AUGUGGAUUAAUUCGAUGCAACGCGAAAAACCUUACCUACCCUUGACAUGUACGGAAUCCUGCUGAGAGGUGGGAGUGCUCGAAAGAGAACCGUAACACAGGUGCUGCAUGGCUGUCGUCAGCUCGUGUCGUGAGAUGUUGGGUUAAGUCCCGCAACGAGCGCAACCCUUGUCCUUAGUUGCUACGCAAGAGCACUCUAGGGAGACUGCCGGUGACAAACCGGAGGAAGGUGGGGAUGACGUCAAGUCCUCAUGGCCCUUAUGGGUAGGGCUUCACACGUCAUACAAUGGUCGGUACAGAGGGCUGCCAAACCGCGAGGUGGAGCUAACCCCAGAAAACCGAUCGUAGUCCGGAUCGCAGUCUGCAACUCGACUGCGUGAAGCUGGAAUCGCUAGUAAUCGCGGAUCAGCAUGUCGCGGUGAAUACGUUCCCGGGUCUUGUACACACCGCCCGUCACACCAUGGGAGUGGGUUUUGCCAGAAGUAGGUAGCCUAACCGUAAGGAGGGCGCUUACCACGGCAGGAUUCAUGACUGGGGUGAAGUCGUAACAA